UACAGAGGUCUCAAGCGUUUGUUCGGAUUCAUUGGGCGUAAAGGGUGCGUAGGUGGCGCCGUAAGUCAGGUGUGAAAUCUCGGGGCUUAACUCCGAAACUGCAUUUGAUACUGCGGUGCUCGAGGACUGGAGAGGAGACUGGAAUUCAUGGUGUAGCAGUGAAAUGCGUAGAGAUCAUGAGGAAGACCAGUGGCGAAGGCGGGGUCUCUGGACAGUUCCUGACACUGAGGCACGAAGGCCAGGGGAGCAAACGGGG
rnacentral:rRNA from 1 species